UGGGGAAUUUUGCACAAUGGGGGGAACCUUGAUGCAGCGACGCCGCGUGAGGGAUGGAGGCCUUCGGGUUGUGAACCUCUUUCGCUCGUGUGCAAGCCGCUAUUUGGGUAGUGGUGAGUGUAGCGGGUAAAGAAGCGCCGGCUAACUACGUGCCAGCAGCAGCGGUAAUACGUAGGGCGCGAGCGUUGUCCGGAUUUAUUGGGCGUAAAGGGCUUGUAGGCGGUUUGUCGCGCCUGUCGUGUAAUCCUCUGGCUUAACUGGGGGUGUGCGGUGGGUACGGGCAAGCUUGAGUGCGGUAGGGGAGAUUGGAAUUCCUGGUGUAGCGGUGGAAUGCGCAGAUAUCAGGAGGAACACCGGUGGCGAAGGCGGGUCUCUGGGCCGUUACUGACGCUGAGGAGCGAAAGCGUGGGGAGCGAACAGG
rnacentral:rRNA from 1 species